UACGUAGGGGGCAAGCGUUGUCCGGAAUUAUUGGGCGUAAAGCGCGUGUAGUCGGUCCGGUAAGUCAGCUGUGAAAGUCAAGGGCUCAACCCUUGAAAGCCGGUUGAUACUGUCGGGCUAGAGUCCGGAAGAGGCGAGUGGAAUUCCCGGUGUAGCGGUGAAAUGCGCAGAUAUCGGGAGGAACACCAAUGGCGAAGGCAGCUCGCUGGGACGGUACUGACGCUGAGACGCGAAAGCGUGGGGAGCAAACAGG
rnacentral:rRNA from 1 species